GACGAACGCUGGCGGCGUGCUUAACACAUGCAAGUCGAACGGUAAGGCCCUUCGGGGUACACGAGUGGCGAACGGGUGAGUAACACGUGGGUGAUCUGCCCUGCACUUCGGGAUAAGCCUGGGGAACUGGGUCUAAUACCGGAUAGGACUCCGGACUGCAUGGUCUGGGGUGGAAAGCUUUUGCGGUGUGGGAUGGGCCCGCGGCCUAUCAGCUUGUUGGUGGGGUAAUGGCCUACCAAGGCGACGACGGGUAGCCGGCCUGAGAGGGUGACCGGCCACACUGGGACUGAGAUACGGCCCAGACUCCUACGGGAGGCAGCAGUGGGGAAUAUUGCACAAUGGGCGCAAGCCUGAUGCAGCGACGCCGCGUGAGGGAUGACGGCCUUCGGGUUGUAAACCUCUUUCAGUAGGGACGAAGCGCAAGUGACGGUACCUACAGAAGAAGGACCGGCCAACUACGUGCCAGCAGCCGCGGUAA
rnacentral:rRNA from 1 species